rnacentral:rRNA from 1 species
GAUGCCGGAUUAGCUAGUUGGUGGGGUAAAGGCUCACCAAGGCGACGAUCCGUAGCAGGUCUGAGAGGAUGAUCUGCCACACUGGGACUGAGACACGGCCCAGACUCCUACGGGAGGCAGCAGUGGGGAAUUUUGGACAAUGGGGGAAACCCUGAUCCAGCCAUGCCGCGUGUCUGAAGAAGGCCUUCGGGUUGUAAAGGACUUUUGUCAGGGAGGAAAUCCUUAAGGCUAAUACCCUUGGGGGAUGACAGUACCUGAAGAAUAAGCACCGGCUAACUACGUGCCAGCAGCCGCGGUAAUACGUAGGGUGCAAGCGUUAAUCGGAAUUACUGGGCGUAAAGCGUGCGCAGGCGGUUUGAAAAGUCAGCUGUG